UACGUAGGUGGCAAGCGUUAUCCGGAAUUAUUGGGCGUAAAGAGAGCGUAGGCGGACUUUUAAGUGAGAUGUGAAAUACUCGGGCUCAACUUGAGUGCUGCAUUUCAAACUGGAAGUCUAGAGUGCAGGAGAGGAGAAUGGAAUUCCUAGUGUAGCGGUGAAAUGCGUAGAGAUAUGGAGGAACACCAGUGGCGAAGGCGGCUUCCUGGUCUGCAACUGACACUGAGGCGCGAAAGCGUGGGGAGCAAACAGG
rnacentral:rRNA from 1 species